UACAGGGGGCGCGAGCGUUGCUCGGAAUCACUGGGCGUAAAGCGUACGCAGGCGGACCGUUAAGUCGGGUGUGAAAUCCCAGGGCUCAACCCUGGACGUGCAUUCGAUACUGGCGGUCUCGAGUACGGGAGAGGUGAGUGGAAUUCCAGGUGUAGCGGUGAAAUGCGUAGAUAUCGGAAGGAACACCAGUGGCGAAAGCGGCUUCCUGGUCCAGCACCGACGUCAGGCACGAAAGCGUGGGGAGCAAACAG
rnacentral:rRNA from 1 species